UGGGGAAUUUUGGACAAUGGGGGCAACCCUGAUCCAGCCAUGCCGCGUGAGUGAAGAAGGCCUUCGGGUUGUAAAGCUCUUUCGGCGGGGACGAAACGGUCCGUGACAACACCACGGACUAAUGACAGUACUCGCAGAAGAAGCACCGGCUAACUACGUGCCAGCAGCCGCGGUAAUACGUAGGGUGCAGGCGUUAAUCGGAAUUACUGGGCGUAAAGCGUGCGCAGGCGGCUCCUUAAGUCAGAUGUGAAAUCCCCGGGCUCAACCUGGGAAUUGCAUUUGAGACUGCACGGCUAGAGUGUGUCAGAGGGGGGUGGAAUUCCAGGUGUAGCAGUGAAAUGCGUAGAGAUCUGGAGGAACACCGAUGGCGAAGGCAGCCCCCUGGGCUAACACUGACGCUCAUGCACGAAAGCGUGGGGAGCAAACAGGAUUAGAUACCCAAGUAGUCCCUGAGCGGGCUGGCAAGGCGCAU
rnacentral:rRNA from 1 species